rfam:Schistosoma curassoni strain Dakar, Senegal genome assembly, scaffold: SCTD_contig0002941
AUCCAGCCGAGCCCAAAAUAGGACGAAACGCGCGUCCUGGAU